AUUGAACGCUGGCGGCAGGCCUAACACAUGCAAGUCGAGCGAGCGGCGGACGGGUGAGUAAUGUAUGGGGACUGCCCGCUAGAGGGGGAUAACUACUGGAAACGGUAGCUAAUACCGCAUACUAUCGGAUAACCCAUAUGGGAUUAGCUAGUAGGUGAGGUAAUGGCUCACCUAGGCGACGAUCCCUAGCUGGUCUGAGAGGCUGAUCAGCCAAUCUGGGAGGGAGACACGGCCCAGCGUCCCAGGGAGGCAGCGGUGGGGAAGAUUGCACGAUGGGCGCAGUCUUGAUGCAGCAAUGCGGGGUGUAGGAAGAAGGCCUGAGGGUUGUAAGGUACUUUCAGUCGGGAGGCGUUACCGACAGAAGAAGCACCGGCUAACUCCGUGCCAGCAGCCGCGGUAAUUC
rnacentral:rRNA from 1 species